rnacentral:rRNA from 1 species
UGCCUAACACAUGCAAGUCGAACGUGAUCCAUCCUUCGGGGUGGUGAAAGUGGCGCACGGGUGAGUAACGCGUGGAUAAUCUGCCCGAGGAUUUGGGAUAACAUCUCGAAAGGGGUGCUAAUACCGAAUAAGCCCACGGGGUCUACGGAUCUUGCGGGAAAAGGGGGGGACUUUCGGGCCUCCUGUCUUCGGAUGAGUCCGCGUACCAUUAGCUAGUUGGUGGGGUAAUGGCCUACCAAGGCGACGAUGGUUAGCUGGUCUGAGAGGAUGAUCAGCCACACUGAAACUGAGACACGGUCCAGACUCCUACGGGAGGCAGCAGUGGGGAAUUUUGCGCAAUGGGGGAAACCCUGACGCAGCAACGCCGCGUGGGUGAUGAAGGCCUUCGGGUCGUAAAGCCCUGUCGGGAGGGAAGAAAUGAUUGAGGGUUAAUACCUCUUGAUCUUGACGGUACCUCCGAAGGAAGCACCGGCUAACUCCGUGCCAGCAGCCGCGGUAAUACGGAGGGUGCAAGCGUUGUUCGGAAUUAUUGGGCGUAAAGCGCGUGUAGGCGGUCUUUUAAGUCUGAUGUGAAAGCCCGGGCUCAACCUGGGAAGUGCAUUGGAAACUGGGAGACUUGAGUACGGGAGAGGAGAGUGGAAUUCCUAGUGUAGGAGUGAAUCCGUAGAUAUUAGGAGGAACACCGGUGGCGAAGGCGGCCUCUGGACCGAUACUGACGCUGAGACGCGAAAGCGUGGGUAGCAAACAGGAUUAGAUACCUGGUAGUCCACGCCGUAACGAUGAGUACUAGGUGUUGCGGUAUUGACCCUGCAGUGCC